rnacentral:rRNA from 1 species
GACAGAGGCCUCGAGCGUUAGGCGGAAUCACUGGGCUUAAAGCGUGUGUAGGCGGAUCGUUAAGUGUCUUGUGAAAUCCCACGGCUCAACCGUGGAACGGCUGGGCAUACUGGCGAUCUUGAGCAGCCUAGGGGCGACCGGAACAAACGGUGGAGCGGUGAAAUGCGCAGAUAUCAGGAAGAACACCGGUGGCGAAGGCGGUUCUCUGGGCAUGACCUGACGCUGAGGAGCGAAAGUGUGGGGAGCGAACAGG